GGUUAAGUGACUAAGCGUAGACGGUGGAUGCCUAGGCAGUUGGAGGCGAUGAAGGACGUACUAACUUGCGAUAAGCCAUGAUGAGGCAGUAAGAGCCGUUAUAGUCAUGGAUUUCCGAAUGGGGAAACCCACUGAGCUUGCUCAGUAUCCUUAGGUGAAUACAUAGCCUAAGGAAGCGAACCCGGAGAACUGAAACAUCUAAGUACCCGGAGGAAAAGAAAUCAACCGAGAUUUCCCUAGUAGCGGCGAGCGAACGGGAAGUAGCCCUUAAGCAAUCAUAGUUUUAGUGGAACAAGCUGGAAAGCUUGACGAUACAGGGUGAUAGUCCCGUACACGACGAAGCGAUGAAUGUGAAAACGAGUAGGUCGGGACACGUGUUAUCUUGACUGAAUAUGGGGGGACCAUCCUCCAAGGCUAAAUACUCCCAACUGACCGAUAGUGAACCAGUACCGUGAGGGAAAGGCGAAAAGAACCCCGGCGAGGGGAGUGAAAUAGAACCUGAAACCGUCUACGUACAAGCAGUAGGAGC
rnacentral:rRNA from 1 species